CAAAUAUCUGUCAGUAACAAUGCCUGUUAUUAAAGAAACAUGCAUCACUAACUUUUUUUUAAAACCAGCAAACACCUUUUAAAGAAAAACAAAAAACGUUAUUUUUAGUUGUGCAUGAAACCUUGACAUAUUAGUCCACACUGAGGUCAGGGGUAUUAGUGCUUGGGACUAUAUGGGGUGACAGUGUGUGGUACUACUGUGGUAGAUCAGAGUGGUAAGAGUGUCCAAUACCCCCUGGACACCACUCAGGGGGCCGUUAGGUGUGCAUGGUUAUCUGAAGUGCUGCUUAGAUCAAAAAUAGGAGCAGAUUCUAGGACAGAAAAUUAUAGAGCACAGGAGAGAGAUAGACAAUACAAAAGAAAUACGAAAAAAUUACUAAUAAUCUUGUGUACAAAUAUUCAUCAGCGGAAGAUAGCUAUAAUUUGUAUGCAUUUGUGGUAAUGAGCAAACUGCAGAACGUGCAAGCGUGAAAACCCGGUAACACCCCAACAAAGGGUGACCAAUAGGUGAAGGUAAGUCAUGCCUCCAUCAGCCAAUGUUCGUUCCUGAGCGGGGCACAAAGGGGAAAACAUUUUGUAUGUCCCAUGAGUUACUUUCUUUAGGGUUAGAAGCCUUAUUCAGAGUGAGGUCUAAUUCAGGACUCUGAGGCCUCUGGAUUCGUGAGCUGGUAGGUAUUCCCCUACUUGGUGGUGAUAAGGGUGCGUGGCUUCCCUGAGUGUCUGUGUGACCUGGCGGACCGAGUGUCUCCAGUCCAAGAUGGCCUUGUAUAAGUCCUGCAAAAAGGUAAGGUGCAUAUCCUCAAACUGGAAUGAGACUCUCGACUUGAUCUCCUUCAAGACCGCCAGCCUGUCCCGGAAUGAUUGAAAGCAGAAUAGGACAUCUCAAGGGGCCGCCUUUGGUGCCCUGUUGGACUUCGGGAGUCGUGAGGAGCAAUCCACUGUCAUGCGUUUGGUUUCUGUGGUGGCAACAGAGCCAAGAGAAGGCACGUAAGAAAGUGUGGCAGUUCCACGUCGGUGAUGGAUUCCAUGAUUCCGAUAAUUUUGAGGUUGUUUUGCCGACAUGUGUCGUCUACUACAUCCAUCCUAACCUGCUUAGACCUGCAUGUCAUUUGGAGGUGCUGGAUCUGUUCUGCGGCACCCACAUGGUGCUGUGAGAGGAUUGUAACCUCCUCUUCAGUGGCCUUUAUUCGGUCGGUGACAGCCAUCAGCACUUCUUGUACCACUGCCAGUUCUCUGAAACUGCUAUUUAUAAAAAAAAAAAAGGGUUAAUCCUAGAAGAACCUGGCACCCAGACCACUUCAUUAAGCUGAAGUGGUCUGGGUGCCUAGAGUGGUCCUUUAAGGAAUACUUAUAUCAAUUAUUUGUUUAUGGAAGGGAAUGUAUUUUUUAUUUUUACCAAUUAGCAUGAAAUGGACUCUCUAAGGAACACAAUCUCCAACUACCUCAAAUAACUAAUGGCAAAAUUAAAGGAGCAUUUCAUGAAAGAAGUUAAAUGUUAACACAAGUUCUAG